rnacentral:sRNA from 1 species
AAUCAGCCAGUGAAGGGCGUGGAGAGCCCGGA